rnacentral:tRNA from 1 species
UCUUUCUAGUACUAAGUAGUAUAAGUGGCUUCCAACCACACGGUCUUGGUUAAAGUCCAAGGAAAGAU